AGCAGCCGCGGUAAUACGGAGGGUGCGAGCGUUAAUCGGAAUUACUGGGCGUAAAAGCGCAUGCAGGUGGUUUGUUAAGUCAGAUGUGAAAGCCCGGGGCUCAACCUCGGAAUUGCAUUUGAAAACUGGCAAACUAGAGUACUGUAGAGGGGGUAGAAUUUCAGGUGUAGCGGUGAAAUGCGUAGAGAUCUGAAGGAAUACCGGUGGCGAAGGCGGCCCCCUGGACAGAUACUGACACUCAGAUGCGAAAGCGUGGGGAGCAAACAGGAUUAGAUCCCCCUGGUAG
rnacentral:rRNA from 1 species